UACGUAGGGUCCGAGCGUUGUCCGGAAUUACUGGGCGUAAAGAGCUCGUAGGUGGUUUGUCGCGUUGUUCGUGAAAACUCACAGCUCAACUGUGGGCGUGCGGGCGAUACGGGCAGACUAGAGUACUGCAGGGGAGACUGGAAUUCCUGGUGUAGCGGUGGAAUGCGCAGAUAUCAGGAGGGAACACCCGGGUGGCGAAGGCGGGUCUCUGGGGCAGUAACUGACGCUGGAGGAGCGAAAGCCGUGGGGAGCGAACAGG
rnacentral:rRNA from 1 species